rnacentral:lncRNA from 1 species
AUCACUAGUAAAAUCUAGGAUGCUGAUCAAACUACACUUCAGGCUGCCUCUAGCCAGCUGCCUGAUUUAGCAGGGGAAGGGUGGUCCUGAGCUUCCCUGGCUUCACAACACCCUCAGCUGCAGGGUCAGAACCCUCUGGAAUUCUUCUAUUUGAUCCUCAGUCCCGGAAAGGUGGCAGGAGGGCAUGGUAAGCUUCAUAGCAAGGAAGGUGAGGAAGCUGGAGCUGGCGGGGACUUGAUCCACACAGGUGACACAGCCAGGAAGGGUAUCAGCUGGUGGCCCAGGCUCUGUCUCUGUCCUCACAUCUGGCUACACAGGCACAGGUGUAGCAUGUGUACUACACAUGUGAUCUCCAGUUUGAUGUCUUCUGCAGAGUGCUCUCAACCCUGGAGACGGCAGAACCAAGUCUCUCUACACCCUUUCCCAGCAAGGGGCCAGGGCCACAGAGGAAGAAUCGCCCCUGAACUCUCAGAAUCCUAAAGCUUCAAUGGUUCUGGAAAUCAGAAGUCCCAGAAUGAAGGUGCCAUCGGUGGCGCUGGUUCCUCCUGGAGGCUCUAAGGGAAACUCCGUCUCCUGUGCUUCCCCAGCUUCCAGAGGUGACCUGCAUUCCCCAGCUCCUUGCCCCCUCUUCCAUCCUCAGAGCCACAGCUUGGCAUCCUCCAGUCUCUGUCUCUGACCUCUUCUUCGGUCCUCGUUCCUCCUACUGCCCCUCGCAUAAGGACCCUUGUGAUUACGCUGGAUCCACCAGAUAACCCAGGAUCCUCCCCCCAUCUCCAGACCCUUAACUUAAUCACAUCCACGAAGGAAGUCCCUGCUGCCUUGUAAAGUAACAUCUUCCCAGGUUCUGGGGAUUCAUAUGUGGACAGCUUUGAGGAGCCACUCAAUUGUGAAGGUCCACCAUAGUACCUUCAUAACUUCAAAUCAUAGGUUUAAACCUCUGUAUCUUAUCCCAUCCAUUUCAGUGUAGCUCUUGCCUGCCCACGCCAUUUGCUUGAUAAAUAUUUGUUCUGGGAGCUAGGUUUGCACAACUGAUCAAGCCAGGCAAAGCCUUAUUUUCCCAAAGCCUAUAUUCCAGUGGGGAAAGACAGGCAAUACAUGGGAUAAAUGAAUAAAUGAUAUUCUCAGCACAAUUGCUUUUUGGAGGAUAACUUGGUAAAAUUUAUGAAAAUUUAAAUUGUGCCUGUUCUCUGACUCUGCAAGCCUGCUGUUAAAAAUUCAUAUAUAAUGAUAUGUGUACAAGCCUGUUCUUUUUUUUUUUUUAAUGAAAUAAUUUUUAUUUGCUGUGAUUAUACAUAUUGACAUUUGCACACUUUUUAAAACUUUUUAUUUGGAAAAAAUUUAAAUUUUAUAGAUAAGUUGCAAAUAUAAAAAGAGUGUAAAGAAUACCCAUACACCCUUUUCCCAGAAAGACUUAUUGUUAGCAUUUCACACAAUUGGCUUUUUGGUUUCUUUCUUUCCCCACCCACCUCACCCCAUGGUUCUCUCUCUCCAUACAUGUUACAUACACAUAAUUAUAUACUUAAUUUUUUUCUUAGUAAAUUGAAGGUGUCACAUACAUGAUGGCCCUUUACUCCAAACAUCAGUGCAUAUUUCCUAAGAAUGUAGAUAUUCUCUUACUUAGCCCCAGUAGUUAUAUAUAUAUAUAUAUAUAUAUAUA